rnacentral:rRNA from 1 species
UACGGGGGGAGCAAGCGUUGUUCGGAUUUACUGGGCGUAAAGGGCGCGUAGGCGGCCAGCACAGGUCAGUUGUGAAAUCUCCGAGCUUAACUCGGAAAGGUCAACUGAUACUGUGCGACUAGAGUGCGGAAGGGGCAACUGGAAUUCUCGGUGUAGCGGUGAAAUGCGUAGAUAUCGAGAGGAACACCGGCGGCGAAGGCGGGUUGCUGGGCCGACACUGACGCUGAUGCGCGAAAGCCAGGGGAGCGAACGGG